UCCGAGUGGUGAAGGAUAGUGCCAAGAAAAGCUGGCUAUGUUAUGAAGAUAGAACACCCGUACCCGAAACCGACACAGGUAGGGAGGUUGAGAAUACCAAGGGGCGCGAGAUAACUCUCUCUAAGGAACUCGGCAAAAUGGCCCCGUAACUUCGGGAGAAGGGGUGCCCACCUCAGACGUGGGUCGCAGUGAAGAGAUCCAGGCGACUGUUUACCAAAAACACAGGUCUCCGCCAACUCGCAAGAGGACGUAUGGGGGCUGACGCCUGCCCAGUGCCGGAAGGUUAAGGAAGCUGGUCAGCGAAAGUAAAGCUGGCGACUGAAGCCCCGGUGAACGGCGGCCGUAACUAUAACGGUCCUAAGGUAGCGAAAUUCCUUGUCGGGUAAGUUCCGACCCGCACGAAAGGCGUAACGAUCUGGAUGGUGUCUCAGAGAGAGACUCGGCGAAAUAGGAAUGUCUGUGAAGAUACGGACUGCCUGCACCUGGACAGAAAGACCCUAUGAAGCUUUACUGUAGCCUGGAAUUGUGUUCGGGCUUCGCUUGCGCAGGAUAGGUGGGAAGCGGUGAACUAUUCCUUUUGGGGAAUAGGGAGCUAACGGUGAGAUACCACUCUGGCGAAGCUAGAAUUCUAACCCACGACCGUCAGCCGGUUGGGGAACAGUUUCAGGUGGGCAGUUUGACUGGGGCGGUCGCCUCCUAAAAAGUAACGGAGGCGCGCAAAGGUUCCCUCAGCACGCUUGGAAACCGUGCGACGAGUGUAAAAGCAAAAGGGAGCUUGACUGCGAGACUGACAAGUCGAGCAGGUACGAAAGUAGGCUUUAGUGAUCCGACGGCGCAGAGUGGAAUGGCCGUCGCUCAACGGAUAAAAGUUACUCUAGGGAUAACAGGCUGAUCUCCCCCAAGAGUCCACAUCGACGGGGAGGUUUGGCACCUCGAUGUCGGCUCAUCGCAACCUGGGGCGGAAGUACGUCCCAAGGGUUGGGCUGUUCGCCCAUUAAAGCGGUACGUGAGCUGGGUUCAGAACGUCGUGAGGCAGUUCGGUCCAUAUCCGGUGCAGGCGCAAGAGUAUUGAGAGGAGUCCUCCUUAGUACGAGAGGACCGGGAGGAACGCACCGCUGGUGUACCAGUUAUUGUACCAACAGUAAACGCUGGGUAGCCAAGUGCGGAGAGGAUAACCGCUGAAAGCAUCUAAGUGGGAAGCCCACCUCAAGAUGAGUACUCUCACUACAAAAAGUAGGUAAGGUCACGGGCAGAACACCCGUUAAUAGGCUCUAAGUGGAAGUGCAGUAAUGUAUGAAGCUGAGGGGUACUAAUAGACCGAGGGCUUGAC
rnacentral:rRNA from 1 species